GAAAACAUUAGAAGACUACAAAUCCUGAAACAUAAAAAGACUUGGUGCCUUGCAUUUCCUUCUUCUUCAAGAAGAGGUGGUUGGGUUGCGGGUGAGGCAAGACUGCUGUGAAGUUUUGUUUCAAGGUCUGAUCAUAGUCAACUCUUCCAAGCCAAAGUCAGGAAUGCCACUUCUGCCAUCUGCACAGUGCCACACACACAGAAGAAAUCCAGCCAGCAGAGGAAAGAUAUUGCCUAGCAAAAGCCAGAGGGUGACAACCAGGCUUGAGGAACAGGAGCAAAGAUCUAGAGUCAAAAACAAAAAACUGACUUAUUAUAGACAUUUUUGGUAUAUUAUACCAAUCAUAUAUUGACAGAUAAAUAGCAGUGAUUAUUAAAAGGUAAAUAGGGACCACUUUGAGAGCUAAAUCAAGAGCAAAACCCAGAUAUAAAAAAAGGUUUUGUUUCUUUUUUAAUGGAGGAAAAAUAUAUUUGGAGGAAGAAAUGAUGUAUCCACCAAGUCAAGGUUAAAAAACAGUAU